rnacentral:rRNA from 1 species
UACGUAGGGGGCUAGCGUUGUCCGGAAUCAUUGGGCGCAAAGAGCGUGUAGGCGGCCUGACAGGUCAGCUGUGAAAACUCGAGGCUCAACCUCGAGACGUCGGUUGAAACCGUAAGGCUAGAGUCCGGAAGAGGAGAGUGGAAUUCCCGGUGUAGCGGUGAAAUGCGCAGAUAUCGGGAAGAACACCCGUGGCGAAGGCGGCUCUCUGGGACGGUACUGACGCUGAGACGCGAAAGCGUGGGGAGCGAACAGG